rnacentral:rRNA from 1 species
AGUCGAGCGGUAACAGGAGUAGCUUGCUACUCGCUGACGAGCGGCGGACGGGUGAGUAACGCGUAGGAAUCUGCCUGAUAGUUGGGGAUAGCCCGGGGAAACCCGGAUUAAUACCGAAUACGCUCUACGGAGGAAAGCAGGGGAUCUUCGGACCUUGCGCUAUCAGAUGAGCCUGCGUGAGAUUAGCUAGUUGGUGAGGUAAUGGCUCACCAAGGCGACGAUCUCUAGCUGGUCUGAGAGGAUGAUCAGCCACACUGGGACUGAGACACGGCCCAGACUCCUACGGGAGGCAGCAGUGGGGAAUAUUGCACAAUGGGCGCAAGCCUGAUGCAGCCAUACCGCGUGUGUGAAGAAGGCCUUAGGGUUGUAAAGCACUUUCAGUCGUGAGGAAAGGUGUGUAGCUAAUACCUGCAUGCUGUGACGUUAGCGACAGAAGAAGCACCGGCUAAUUCCGUGCCAGCAGCCGCGGUAAUACGGAAGGUGCGAGCGUUAAUCGGAAUUACUGGGCGUAAAGCGCGCGUAGGUGGUUCAGUCAGUCAGAUGUGAAAGCCCCGGGCUCAACCUGGGAACUGCACCUGAUACUGCUGGACUUGAGUACGGUAGAGGGUAGUGGAAUUUCCUGUGUAGCGGUGAAAUGCGUAGAUAUAGGAAGGAACACCAGUGG